rnacentral:rRNA from 1 species
GGAUUAGAUACCCUGGUAGUCCACGCCGUAAACGAUGUCUACUAGCCGUUGGGGUACUUGAGACCUUAGUGGCGCAGCUAACGCACUAAGUAGACCGCCUGGAGAGUACGGCCGCAAGGUUAAAACUCAAAUGAAUUGACGGGGGCCCGCACAAGCGGUGGAGCAUGUGGUUUAAUUCGAUGCAACGCGAAGAACCUUACCAGGACUUGACAUCCAGAGAACUUUCUAGAGAUAGAUUGGUGCCUUCGGGAACUCUGUGACAGGUGCUGCAUGGCUGUCGUCAGCUCGUGCCG